rnacentral:rRNA from 1 species
GGAAUAUUGGUCAAUGGGCGAGAGCCUGAACCAGCCAAGUAGCGUGCAGGAUGACGGCCCUAUGGGUUGUAAACUGCUUUUGCCGGGGAAUAAAGUGAGGCACGCGUGCCUUUUUGUAUGUACCCGGAGAAUAAGGACCGGCUAAUUCCGUGCCAGCAGCCGCGGUAAUACGGAAGGUCCGGGCGUUAUCCGGAUUUAUUGGGUUUAAAGGGAGCGCAGGCCGACGUGUAAGCGUGUUGUGAAAUGUACCGGCUCAACCGGUAAGUUGCAGCGCGAACUGCAUGUCUUGAGUGCACCCGAGGAGGGCGGAAUUCGUGGUGUAGCGGUGAAAUGCUUAGAUAUCACGAAGAACUCCGAUUGCGAAGGCAGCCCUCCAGCGUGUAACUGACGCUAAUGCUCGAAAGUGCGGGUAUCGAACA